CAGUCGUACGCUUCUUUUUCCCCGGAGCUUGCUCCACCGGAAAAAGAAGAGUGGCGAACGGGUGAGUAACACGUGGGUAACCUGCCCAUCAGAAGGGGAUAACACUUGGAAACAGGUGCUAAUACCGUAUAACAAUCGAAACCGCAUGGUUUUGAUUUGAAAGGCGCUUUCGGGUGUCGCUGAUGGAUGGACCCGCGGUGCAUUAGCUAGUUGGUGAGGUAACGGCUCACCAAGGCCACGAUGCAUAGCCGACCUGAGAGGGUGAUCGGCCACAUUGGGACUGAGACACGGCCCAAACUCCUACGGGAGGCAGCAGUAGGGAAUCUUCGGCAAUGGACGAAAGUCUGACCGAGCAACGCCGCGUGAGUGAAGAAGGUUUUCGGAUCGUAAAACUCUGUUGUUAGAGAAGAACAAGGAUGAGAGUAACUGUUCAUCCCUUGACGGUAUCUAACCAGAAAGCCACGGCUAACUACGUGCCAGCAGCCGCGGUAAUACGUAGGUGGCAAGCGUUGUCCGGAUUUAUUGGGCGUAAAGCGAGCGCAGGCGGUUUCUUAAGUCUGAUGUGAAAGCCCCCGGCUCAACCGGGGAGGGUCAUUGGAAACUGGGAGACUUGAGUGCAGAAGAGGAGAGUGGAAUUCCAUGUGUAGCGGUGAAAUGCGUAGAUAUAUGGAGGAACACCAGUGGCGAAGGCGGCUCUCUGGUCUGUAACUGACGCUGAGGCUCGAAAGCGUGGGGAGCAAACAGGAUUAGAUACCCUGGUAGUCCACGCCGUAAACGAUGAGUGCUAAGUGUUGGAGGGUUUCCGCCCUUCAGUGCUGCAGCUAACGCAUUAAGCACUCCGCCUGGGGAGUACGACCGCAAGGUUGAAACUCAAAGGAAUUGACGGGGGCCCGCACAAGCGGUGGAGCAUGUGGUUUAAUUCGAAGCAACGCGAAGAACCUUACCAGGUCUUGACAUCCUUUGACCACUCUAGAGAUAGAGCUUCCCCUUCGGGGGCAAAGUGACAGGUGGUGCAUGGUUGUCGUCAGCUCGUGUCGUGAGAUGUUGGGUUAAGUCCCGCAACGAGCGCAACCCUUAUUGUUAGUUGCCAUCAUUCAGUUGGGCACUCUAGCAAGACUGCCGGUGACAAACCGGAGGAAGGUGGGGAUGACGUCAAAUCAUCAUGCCCCUUAUGACCUGGGCUACACACGUGCUACAAUGGGAAGUACAACGAGUCGCGAAGUCGCGAGGCUAAGCUAAUCUCUUAAAGCUUCUCUCAGUUCGGAUUGUAGGCUGCAACUCGCCUACAUGAAGCCGGAAUCGCUAGUAAUCGCGGAUCAGCACGCCGCGGUGAAUACGUUCCCGGGCCUUGUACACACCGCCCGUCACACCACGAGAGUUUGUAACACCCGAAGUCGGUGAGG
rnacentral:rRNA from 1 species